ensembl:snRNA Gm22956 predicted gene, 22956
AGCUUUGUGCAGUGGCAGAAUCGUAGCCAAUGAGGUUUUUCUGAGGUGUGAUUAUUGCUAAAAAUCACCAUUUAACCU